rnacentral:rRNA from 2 species
UGCAAGUCGAACGGGGAAAGCUUUCGGGUGAGUACUAGUGGCGCACGGGUGAGGAAUACAUGGGUAAUCUGCCCUCGAGUUGGGGAUAACUAGUCGAAAGAUUAGCUAAUACCGAAUAAGACCACAGGAUCUGCGGAUCUAGGGGUUAAAGGUUUUUCGCUUGAGGAUGAGCCCAUGUGGGAUUAGCUAGUUGGUGGGGUAAUGGCCUACCAAGGCGACGAUCCCUAACUGGUCUUAGAGGAUGAUCAGUCACACUGGAACUGAGACACGGUCCAGACUCCUACGGGAGGCAGCAGUAGGGAAUAUUGCACAAUGGGGGAAACCCUGAUGCAGCGACGCCGCGUGAGUGAUGAAGGCCUUCGGGUCGUAAAGCUCUGUCGUAUGGGACUAACACAAUGAAGGUNCCAUGCAAGAAAGGAUCGGCUAACUUC